AGCGAACGCUGGCGGCAGGCUUAACACAUGCAAGUCGAGCGGGCAUCUUCGGGUGUCAGCGGCGGACGGGUGAGUAACGCGUGGGAACGUGCCUUCUGGUUCGGAAUAACUCAGGGAAACUUGAGCUAAUACCGGAUACGCCCUUUUGGGGAAAGGUUUACUGCCGGAAGAUCGGCCCGCGUCUGAUUAGCUAGUUGGUGGGGUACCGGCCUACCAAGGCGACGAUCAGUAGCUGGUCUGAGAGGAUGAUCAGCCACACUGGGACUGAGACACGGCCCAGACUCCUACGGGAGGCAGCAGUGGGGAAUAUUGGACAAUGGGGGCAACCCUGAUCCAGCCAUGCCGCGUGAGUGAUGAAGGCCUUAGGGUUGUAAAGCUCUUUUAUCCGGGACGAUAAUGACGGUACCGGAGGAAUAAGCCCCGGCUAACUUCGUGCCAGCAGCCGCCGCGG
rnacentral:rRNA from 1 species